rnacentral:ncRNA from 1 species
UGAUAGCGUAGAAGCGUGAGGUUGCUGCCCGGCGAGGCAGGUUUUCCGUGGAGCGAAUGUCAAGUUAAGAAACUGACGACAA